GAACAAAACACUAGCAUUCAAAACUUUCUCUCUCUCUCUCGGAUUGAAGCUUUCUCUCUUCACGGCACAGCCACUGGCCCGGAUCUCCGGUUCCGACGAUACUGGGCUUUUUCUCAUCAGAAAAUCCCUAAAAUCCCCACUGGUACAGUCACCAAAUUUCAAAAUUUUUCUCUCUUCCACCAAACCUUGCUGUACGUGGGACACCAGUGUCGAUUCUCCAUGACCAUGGCUACAACUGGAAGCCUCCAAGGCUCACACGACCACCACCGGCGGUGCUUGUUGGCCUGACCUUCUCCUCUCUUUAGGUCUCUGUUUUUUCGCUCUCUCAAGUCCAGCCGUGGCCAAGCUUCUGCUUGCACCACGACACCACCAUUUCUGGUGAUGCUUCUCACCAUAUAUACCACCAUUGGUUUAAAUAUAACAAUAAUUCAUUUUCAUCAUUUGGGUUUGGCAGUAACUCAAUGAUCUAUAUUAUUUUAAUGUUGAUUUUAGAAAUACACAAAAGAUGUUUGUGGAUAGAAACUUUGAAGUAAUGUUAAGCUCACUGAUGAUAAAAAUAACAACAAUUAUUCAGCACAAAGAGGAAUUGCCAAAAAUGCACUGGAAGAGUGGAUGGGGACUCUUUCUAAAAUUGUUCAGCACAAAGAGGAAUUGCCAGAGAUAUUUUCGGCUCAAACAGGUUUAGGAACCCACAUAUUCUCUCAAGGACUAGCCAAUUCCUUUGCUUCUCAUGUGAAGAAACUUGCAGCACCGUUUAGACAGAGUGAACAGAAAGUUGGUUGCUUUGUUGCAACUCGAGAAGAUGUAGUAUCUUGGGUGCAGUCAAGGCUUGCAUCCUCUGUUGCUACAACAUAAUUGAUGAACCAAGUGUAAUUACAGAGGCAAUAGUUUUCACUUUUCAUCAUUGCUUUUUUCUUUUUUCCUUUUUUGUUGUUUUGCUUUGGCACUGAAGAUUAUGAAAAA